rnacentral:rRNA from 1 species
AUGCAAGUCGAACGAUGAAGCUGGAACUUGUUCUGGUGGAUUAGUGGCGAACGGGUGAGUAACACGUGAGCAACCUGCCCAAGACUUUCGGGAUAAGCCUGGGAAACUGGGUCUAAUACUGGAUAUGACCUUUCAUCGCAUGGUGUUUGGUGGAAAGAUUUUUUGGUUUUGGAUGGGCUCGCGGCCUAUCAGCUUGUUGGUGAGGUAAUGGCUUACCAAGGCUUCGACGGGUAACCGGCCUGAGAGGGUGACCGGUCACACUGGGACUGAGACACGGCCCAGACUCCUACGGGAGGCAGCAGUGGGGAAUAUUGCACAAUGGGCGAAAGCCUGAUGCAGCGACGCCGCGUGAGGGAUGACGGCCUUCGGGUUGUAAACCUCUUUCAGUCAGGAACAAGCCACUUGUGGUGAGGGUACUGGCAGAAGAAGCACCGGCUAACUACGUGCCAGCAGCCGCGGUAAUACGUAGGGUGCGAGCGUUAUCCGGAAUUAUUGGGCGUAAAGAGCUUGUAGGCGGUUUGUCGCGUCUGCUGUGAAAGCCCGGGGCUUAACUCCGGGUCUGCAGUGGGUACGGGCAGGCUAGAGUGAUGUAGGGGUAACUGGAAUUCCUGGUGUAGCGGUGGAAUGCGCAGAUAUCAGGAAGAACACCGAUGGCGAAGGCAGGUUACUGGGCAUUUACUGACGCUGAGAAGCGAAAGCAUGGGGAGCGAACAGGAUUAGAUACCCUGGUAGUCCAUGCCGUAAACGUUGGGCACUAGGUGUGGGGAGCAUUCCACGUUUUCCGCGCCGUAGCUAACGCAUUAAGUGCCCCGCCUGGGGAGUACGGCCGCAAGGCUAAAACUCAAAGGAAUUGACGGGGGCCCGCACAAGCGGCGGAGCAUGCUGAUUAAUUCGAUGCAACGCGAAAAACCUUACCAAGGCUUGACAUGAACCGGACCGCCGCAAAGAUGCGGUUUCCCUUCGGGGCUGGUUUACAGGUGGGGCAUGGUUGUCCUCAUCUCCUGUCCUGAGAUGUUGGGUUAAGUCCCGCAACCAGCGCAACCCUCGUUCUAUGUUGCCA